GAUAUUUUCCACCCUAUAUAUAUUGAAAACUUCGUUGAUUCCGCCUUUAUUCUUCUGGGCUGACAGCAAGCGAAUGUGUGGCAAAUUUUAUGUGCUCACGGAUCUGAGAAAUUCAUUAUGGAAAAAUACAGCAUUCAGCAAUGCAUCCAGGUGGUAAAAUUCUUCUACCAAAAUCAGGGGUCGAUAAUUCAGACCCAGGGAACAUACUAUCGACACAAAUGAGAGAUGCACCAAGUGAGAAAGUGAUUAAAAAUUUGAUUCGUUUGAACAGUAGUAGCUGAUCUUCCAUGAUCUGGGAAUCCUUGCAAUGUCAAGUGAUGAGACAAGCAAGCAAUCCCAUGACUAGCUCGGAUUUUUUCUGGUGGGGAUACCUGAAAGAGAGGGUUUAUAUCAAGGAACAGUAGCUGAUCUGGGAGGCCUCGCAAUGUCACGUGAUGAGACAUGCGAACAAGCCCGGAUGUUUUCUUGUGGCGAUACCUGAAUGAGAGCAUUUAUGUCAACAAACCGGAGACCCUGGUGCAAAUGAAGAUCAGAGAAAUUAGAAGUGGGGUCUGAAACUCUUGAGGAUGUUAUAGUGCAAGUUUUGGAAAGAGCACAGGCAUGCCAAACCAAAAAUGGCUGCCAUUUAAAGUGGUCAUUUCUCAUGUGAUGUAGUGGUAUUGCAAAAUUUGACUUGUGCAUAUUAAUUGUCAUUGUCCUUUGUUUGUAAAGAUAAGGAAGUUAUUAAAGAUUGAAACCCAUCAGUGACUUUUGGGACAAUGUAUUAGUCAGAUCUGAUCAGGUCUUCAGGUAGAUAUAGAUGUGUGAAUAAUCCUGAUGGCUUUUACAUACACACAUGAAGCAGAUUCAAAAGACACUAUGGCUUCUCCAUGGAAAAGUUGCAUGAAUGCUCUGAAUGAACAUUGGAAACCUAUUUCUGAUUUUGGCUUAUGUGGAGGCAGCAGAUAUGGUACUAGGAAUGAGUCAAACCAAAUAGACUGCAUACUAGGGACAAAAUAUGACUCUGAAGAGUGUACCACUCAGCAUAGACUAGUGAUUAGUGAUUUCAGACUACGAGAUGCAAGACAGGAUAAUGAAGCCAGAUUCAAAACUGACAGCAGAUGAUGGUGUUGAACAUCCAUUUUGAAGAGAAGAUUGUGACAGCUAGCCUAGUAUUUGUGCAGAAACUAUAAACAAGGAAAACCAUCAUUGAGGCAUUCUCUUGUACUUGAUAUAAUUCCAAAUAUACAAGAUCUUGAAGAACUUCAUGGUGAUGACACCUAUAAUGAAUUUUCUACUGGGCCAGAAUUCUAUACACACUGUAGAGAAAAUGAAUAAAAGUUCUUCAAAACUAACAAAA
rnacentral:misc_RNA from 1 species